CAGCAGCCGCGGUAAUACGUAGGGUGCAAGCGUUAAUCGGAAUUACUGGGCGUAAAGCGUGCGCAGGCGGUUUGUUAAGACAGAUGUGAAAUCCCCGGGCUUAACCUGGGAACUGCAUUUGUGACUGGCAAGCUAGAGUAUGGCAGAGGGGGGUGGAAUUCCGCGUGUAGCAGUGAAAUGCGUAGAUAUGCGGAGGAACACCGAUGGCGAAGGCAGCCCCAUGGGCCAAUACUGACGCUCAUGCACGAAAGCGUGGGGAGCAAACAGGAUUAGAUACCCGCGUAGUCCCUGUCUCUUAUAC
rnacentral:rRNA from 1 species